rnacentral:pre_miRNA from 1 species
UUUAAUUAUAGUUAUGGAUUUUCGUAUCCAACAUUUGAUCGUUUUUCUUAUUUAAAAAAAUAUAAUUAAUAUUUUUUAUUGUUAUUAGAUGACAAAACAUAAAUAAUACUUUAUGCGUGACUUAUUUUUUCUAAAUUUUUCAUAAAUUUUUCAAAUAAGACGGAUAAUGAGAUGAAUGGAGUAAGACUGUGAGAGCGAGCAAA